rnacentral:tRNA from 3 species
CUCUCCGUAGCUCAGUUGGAUCAGAGCGCCUGCCUACGAAGCAGGAGGUCGAAGGUUCGAGUCCUUCCGGAGAGGCCA